UGAGAUGUGAUGCCGAGCCGAUUGUGGCGAAGUGGAUGAUCCUAUGCUGCCGAGAAAAGCCUCUAGUGAGUGUUGUGGCGGCCCGUACCCUAAACCGACUCAGGUGGUCAGGUAGAGAAUACUAAGGCGAUCGGGUGAACUGUGGUUAAGGAACUCGGCAAAUUGCCCCCGUAACUUCGGGAGAAGGGGGGCCUCUGCUGGUGAUGGCAUUUACUGCUGGAGCUGGUGGGGGUCGCAGUGGCCAGGGGGAAGCGACUGUUUACUAAAAACACAGGUCCGUGCGAAGUCGUAAGACGAUGUAUACGGACUGACGCCUGCCCGGUGCCGGAACGUUAAGGGGACCGCUUAGCCAGCUUGUCUGGCGAAGGUGAGAACUUAAGCGCCGGUAAACGGCGGUGGUAACUAUAACCAUCCUAAGGUAGCGAAAUUCCUUGUCGGGUAAGUUCCGACCUGCACGAAUGGCGUAACGACUUCCCCGCUGUCUCAACCGCAGACCCGGCGAAAUUGCAUUACGAGUAAAGAUGCUCGUUACGCGCAGCAGGACGGAAAGACCCCGGGACCUUCACUACAGCUUGACAUUGGCGUUUGGAGCGUCUUGUGUAGGAUAGGUGGGAGACUGGGAAGCUCGGACGCUAGUUCGGGUGGAGUCAUUGGUGAAAUACCACUCUGGUCGUUUUGAACGUCUAACUCUGGUCCGUGAUCCGGAUCGGGGACAGUGUCUGGUGGGUAGUUUAACUGGGGCGGUUGCCUCCUAAAGGGUAACGGAGGCGCCCAAAGGUUCCCUCAGCCUGGUUGGCAAUCAGGUGUUGAGUGUAAGUGCACAAGGGAGCUUGACUGUGAGACUGACGGGUCGAGCAGGAGCGAAAGCUGGGACUAGUGAUCCGGCAUCGGCGUGUGGAAGCGGUGUCGCUCAACGGCUAAAAGGUACCCCGGGGAUAACAGGCUGAUCUUCCCCAAGAGUCCAUAUCGACGGGAUGGUUUGGCACCUCGAUGUCGGCUCGUCGCAUCCUGGGGCUGGAGUAGGUCCCAAGGGUUGGGCUGUUCGCCCAUUAAAGCGGUACGCGAGCUGGGUUUAGAACGUCGCGAGACAGUUCGGUCCCUAUCCGCUGCGCGCGCAGGAGACUUGAAAGGGGCUGUCCCUAGUACGAGAGGACCGGGACGGACGAACCUCUGGUGUGCCAGUUGUAUCGCCAGGUGCAUGGCUGGUUGGCUACGUUCGGAAGGGAUAACCGCUGAAAGCAUCUAAGCGGGAAGCUCGCCUUGAGAUGAGGUCUCCCACCCUGUGAGGGGGUAAGGCUCCCGGUAGACGACCGGGUUGAUAGGCCGGAGGUGGAAGCGCGGUAACGUGUGGAGCUGACCGGUACUAAUAGGCCGAGGACUUGACCUC
rnacentral:rRNA from 1 species